CAUUGGGUCACUGGGAUGGUCAAUAGGCUCAUUGGGAUGGUCAUUGAGGUCAUUGGGGUCAUUGGGAUGGUCAUUGAGGUCAUUGGGGUCACUGGGGUCAUUGGGAUGGUCAUUGAGAUCAUUGAGGUCAUUGGGGUCAUUGGGAUGGUCAUUGGGUCACUGGGAUGGUCAUUGAGGUCAUUGGGUCACUGGGAUGGUCAUUGAGCUCAUUGGGGUCAUUGGGAUGGUCAUUGGGGUCAUUGGGAUGGUCAUUGAGGUCAUUGGGGUCAUUGGG